UCCUCGGCCUCUCAAAGGUCUGGGAUUACAGGCAUGAGCCACUAUGCCCGGCCUCUAUCUGCAUUUUGUGUUCAGUGUACACUUAUCAGUACAUAAAUUAUCUUGGCUAGUCGUCAUUUCUGUUGUCUAUCUCCAACCACCCCCGAAGCCUUUCAUCUCUAGCUCCCAGAGCUGGGGACUUGUCUUGUUUACUGCCGUAUUCCCAAUGCCUAGAGCUCAUGUGGCAUGCAGCAGGCACUGGCUAUGGGUGGAGGUCUCCAGCUCUGCUCCAGCUCCUGUCCCACACGGUGAGUAGCCUUCAGAAAAGGAAGUCCUUGAAAAGUGGAGGCUGGGGCUUUGUUCGGCCUUUCCCUGCCCCUAGGCUUGCGUUCAGCCCGUGGCUGUGUGUCCCUUCCUGGCUUUGCCCCUGAUUUGCUCAGUGUGGGUGAGCCAUAGCCAGUCUGGUGCUGAGGAAGGGGGUGGAUGGGAAGGGCGGGGCCCAUAUGUCAGUGAGACACAGGCCACAGUUCAGAUGGAUGGUAUCAAGUCUUCAUGACUUCAGCUGCACUUAGUUAAACAUGGACCAGCCCAUUGGAACCUUGUGGGCAGUAGUCUGAUUUCUGCUGUCAUUUCUGCUCUCUUCCAAGCUUCAAUUAAGGGAGCAACAAAAGAUCUCUAUCAUGAGCCAUGUGUGGUGAUCUCAUCUGCUGAGACAAAUAUUUUUUUUUCUGGUUAUAUUUAUAGAACACUCUCUUGUUUCCUUGAACAACCCUAGCUGGCAUUAUCUUGUUUACUUUCUCUUCAUCUAGAUUUGCAUUUGCAGGGGGGCAGCUUUUAUCUGUUGCUCUUAGCUGUGUGGGAUUUCAAAUUCCUCUGUUUUUCUUCUUUUAGCUUUCAUCUGUGAGCUCUUUUAAAAUCAAGCAGUUUGUAACUUAUAGUUACCAAGGCAGUAAUUAAUAUUAUAAGAAAAUAGACAACACCGGCUCCAGCUAAGCACUCUGUGAUAAUUUUUCUUAGCAGUGUCUUGUGGCCUUGCAGAGGAAAAUGGAACUUGGUAUUCCUUUCCCCUUUGUGCCAGUCAUGUGCUUCCUGAUGCCAGGCCUCCCUCCAGCCCUCCCAUCACAGGGAAACUAGUACAGACCACCCCCACAGACCUGUGGACUGACACCUGACUACCUUUGGGGGCAUCUGACCUUGCCUGCGGUCCCACGGUGACUCACAGUGAAACUAAGAUGCACAGCUCGGGUAGGAACCUGCUGGCCCAGCAAGAGAAUCUCUUCUUCGGGGACCCAUUAAGCUAGGCUCUGUCAGGUAGUAAUUCCAAUAUCCAAUUGAAGAAUAGAAAGGACUCCCCUGACGCACCAUGGGUAUGUAUCAUUUAAGCAAAAACAAAAGACAAAAGACAGUGGAUACUGAACAACCAGAUUCCCGUUUGUAAAACCUUGGAUCCAUAGUUUCCUCUAAUCCCACAGAAGGUUUUCUCAGACUCUGGCUGUCAGAGAGGAGAACUAUGAACUCACCUACUCAUUCAUGCUGCCCAGAACCAGAUGCACAAAGAACAAACAAGUUUCCCAGCAGGACUCAAAAUAGAAGGGAUGGUGACUGCAUGCCUUACCAUUCGGGAUCCUCUUCUUCCCGGAGAACUCCGCGCAGGCAGGCUUGGAGAGGGAAUGAAUUGAUCUGGCAUCGUGAAGAUUUGUUCAGCCUUCCCUGAGUGCAUCUUCUGACUCCUGGGGUAGGUAAGAAAUGGAGGGGCUCCUGGAGUCACCUUCAAGGCAGAUGAAGAGGAGCUAUGGAGGCCCUUUGAAGCAUGGCCCCUGGGCAUGGGAUCUGGUGAGAAACCUCCUUCCCAGCUUUGCCACUGAAACCAUGGAUUUUAAACUUCGGCAGAGUUUCCAAGCUUUCAUUUCCCAUCUAUCAAUAGGGAUAAUAAUAAUAAUAUACCUGUAUGACCUUGUUCACAGGUUUGCUGUCAAGGUCAAAUAAGACAAGCAAAAGUACCUUGUAGAUCCAGUAUUAUACUAGUUAAGAAGAAAGACUGGAGCCCAGUGGUCCGGAUUAAGUCCGCACACCUCCCCCAGCUCCACUAUGCACUUGUUGGGUGACCUUGGACAAGUUAUUUAACCUCCCUAUAACUCAGUUUCUUCCUUUACAAAAUAAGAAUGAGACUAGGACUUUCAUCAUAUGGUUAUGAGGAUUCAAAUGAGUUAAAUGUAAAGCACUCAGGCCAGGCGUGGUGGCUCACACCUGUAAUCCCAGCACUUUGGGAGGCUGAGGCAGCAAGAUUG
rnacentral:lncRNA from 1 species